UGUUGCAUUUAUUAUCCUUUCGAUUACUGUGUUGCUUGUUUCUUUAAUAAAACUUUCUUAGUUCUAGUACUCCAGACUCCAACUGAGUGAUCCAUUUCUGCUGGUUUGGCAACCCAGUUACGGGGGUCCUUGCAAAUAUUGAUGCCCCGUUGGAUAUACCCAAAACAUUAUCAUCUUGAAGUUACCUACCAGAGUUGGUUGUUUCUCAGAUUGGCUACCAUGCUUUCUCCACCAGAACUUGCCUGGAUUGAUGAAGGCAAAUGCUGGAGGAACUCAGCAGGUCAGGCACCAUUCAUGGAGAUGGACAAGCAGUCAACGUUUUGAGCCGAAUCUCUUCUUCAGGACGAAGGAGGAAGACACCAGAAUAAAAAGGUCAGGAUCGGUGUCCUCCUCCUGUGCAGUGAUUCAGUGGUUUGUCAUUGAUGAGCUGGCAUAAAUGAUUCUGCUGCAAAGAAUGAGAGAGAUAUCCUUCAAUCAAUCAUCAUCAUCAUCAGGUGCCAUGCCCAGUUUGAGCUUUGACUGCCAUGGCCCACACACUCCUGUUUCAGGUCAAGUGGAUCAAUUC